rnacentral:rRNA from 1 species
CCUACGGGUGGCAGCAGUGGGGAAUAUUGGACAAUGGGCGAAAGCCUGAUCCAGCCAUGCCGCGUGUGUGAAGAAGGCCUUCGGGUUGUAAAGCACUUUCAGUGGGGAAGAAAGCCUUGGGGCUAAUACCCUCGAGGAAGGACAUCACCCACAGAAGAAGCACCGGCUAACUCCGUGCCAGCAGCCGCGGUAAUACGGAGGGGUGCGAGCGUUAAUCGGAAUUACUGGGCGUAAAGCGCGCGUAGGCGGUCUGAUAAGCCGGUUGUGAAAGCCCCGGGCUCAACCUGGGAACGGCAUCCGGAACUGUCAGGCUAGAGUGCAGGAGAGGAAGGUAGAAUUCCCGGUGUAGCGGUGAAAUGCGUAGAGAUCGGGAGGAAUACCAGUGGCGAAGGCGGCCUUCUGGACUGACACUGACGCUGAGGUGCGAAAGCGUGGGUAGCAAACAGGAUUAGAUACCCGUGAGUC